AGGUGUGCUAUCAAAAGUGUGUUUGUUCAGGAUCCCCCCUGUCGUGGGAUGUUACAAACCCGUGGACAACGGACCGAAUGUCUGCCCGCGGUACAAUUGUACAGAACAAAACUGCAAGACACCAUCAGGUCACAUAAUAGUUGGCGGGGAACCACAGUAUUUCGAAGAUGACGGUCUCUGCAAAUGUCCCAGUUUGUAUUUGAAGUACUUUACUUGGCAAGAGGUUUCGGGUGGAAGAGCCCAAUGCUCCCCACCUACAACACCGCCACGACCAGCUACAACAACAACACCGCCACGACCACCUACAACAACAACACCACCACCACCGCCAACUGUUGGCUGAUUUAACGUUUUCACUGAAAUGUUGUAUCUGUUCAAGGUCCAGGGGCCUAAUUCACUAAACUCUCGCAACCUUUGCGAUCUCGCAGUGCAAUGCUAAAAUACUUGCAAAGAGGAUGCUUUGUUGUCUAGCAGAGCCAAAGAGACCUUUGUAAAUUAGACCCCAGAUCUGAAUGGACAAUAAAUCGUUUAGACGAA